AAAUGACAUUAUAUACCCUUUUCUUUUUUUACUAAAAAAAAAAAAAAGAAAAGGGAUCUUUUAGAUAUUUAUAUAGUAUAUAACUAUUGCAUAUAAGUCUCUUUAUGUUAAAGAAUAAAUAGGUUUUAAAUAGAAGAUAAAAUUAGAAUUUUUGUAUGUUAAAAAUAGGACUUAAUUAUAACCUGGCUAAGCCUGUGCCAGCCGCCGCGGUUAUACAGGCAGGUUAAGAUUGUUUUUUCGUAGAAAGAAAAAAAAGAAGAGUUUUUUAAAACGCUUGAGAAGGUGAAAUUUAUAAGGUUAAUUUUAUUUUUGGUUUUUAAAAGCCUUGUUUGUAAACUAGGAUUAGAUACCCUAUUAUUAUGAAGGUUUGAUAUUGGUAGUAUGUAUAGAUUGUGAAAUCUAAAGAUUUUGGCGGUAUUUUAAACUCGUUAGAGGAACUUGCUCUUUAAUUGAUAAAACACCGAAAUCUUACUUAAAUUGGUUAAGACAGUUUGUAUAUCGCUAUCAGCAAAUUAUAUUGGAUGAUUAUAUAAUUUUAAUGAUUUUUUAUAAAAAUGUUAGGUCAAAAUGCAACUUAUAUUUAAGGUUGAAGUGAGUUAUAAGAAUUGUUAUUGGAUAGUAGUGAAAGUAAAAUUAAGAUUUAAAAGUAAAAUGGAAUUAUAAUGUCUAUUUGAAAGGAGUUCUGAAAUAUGUACAUAUCGCCCGUCGCUCUCAUUAAAGAGAUAAGUCGUAACAGAGUAAGUGUACUGGAAAGUGUACUU
rnacentral:ncRNA from 1 species